GAUGAACGCUGGCGGCGUGCCUAAUACAUGCAAGUCGAGCGAACGGACGAGAAGCUUGCUCCUCUGACGUUAGCGGCGGACGGGUGAGUAACCCGUGGAUAACCUACCUAUAAGACUGGGAUAACUUCGGGAAACCGUAGCUAAUACCGGAUAAUAUUUUGAACCGCAUGGUUCAAUAGUGAAAGACGGUCUUGCUGUCACUUAUAGAUGGAUCCGCGCUGCAUUAGCUAGUUGGUAAGGUAACGGCUUACCAAGGCAACGAUGCGUAGCCGACCUGAGAGGGUGAUCGGCCACACUGGAACUGAGACACGGUCCAGACUCCUACGGGAGGCAGCAGUAGGGAAUCUUCCGCAAUGGGCGAAAGCCUGACGGAGCAACGCCGCGUGAGUGAUGAAGGUCUUCGGAUCGUAAAACUCUGUUAUUAGGGAAGAACAAAUGUGUAAGUAACUGUGCACAUCUUGACGGUACCUAAUCAGAAAGCCACGGCUAACUACGUG
rnacentral:rRNA from 1 species